rnacentral:rRNA from 1 species
UUAUUGCUUCGGCGGGCCCGCCUUCACUGGCCGCCGGGGGGCUCACGCCCCCGGGCCCGCGCCCGCCGAAGACACCCCGAACUCUGUCUGAAGAAUGAAGUCUGAGUGAAAAUAUAAAUUAUUUAAAACUUUCAACAACGGAUCUCUUGGUUCCGGCAUCGAUGAAGAACGCAGCGAAAUGCGAUACGUAAUGUGAAUUGCAAAUUCAGUGAAUCAUCGAGUCUUUGAACGCACAUUGCGCCCCCUGGUAUUCCGGGGGGCAUGCCUGUCCGAGCGUCAUUGCUGCCCUCAAGCCCGGCUUGUGUGUUGGGCCUCGUCCUCCGAUUCCGGGGGACGGGCCCGAAAGGCAGCGGCGGCACCGCGUCCGGUCCUCGAGCGUAUGGGGCUCUGUCACCCGCUCUGUAGGCCCGGCCGGCGCUUGCCGAUCAAGCCAAAUUUUUAUCCAG